GAGUUUGAUCUUGGCUCAGAUUGAACGCUGGCGGCAUGCCUUACACAUGCAAGUCGAACGGCAGCACGGGAGCUUGCUCCUGGUGGCGAGUGGCGAACGGGUGAGUAGUGCAUCGGAACGUAUCCUGGAGUGGGGGAUAACGUAGCGAAAGUUACGCUAAUACCGCAUAUUCUGUGAGCAGGAAAGCGGGGGACCUUCGGGCCUCGCGCUCUUGGAGCGGCCGAUGUCGGAUUAGCUAGUUGGUGAGGUAAAGGCUCACCAAGGCGACGAUCCGUAGCAGGUCUGAGAGGAUGAUCUGCCACACUGGAACUGAGACACGGUCCAGACUCCUACGGGAGGCAGCAGUGGGGAAUUUUGGACAAUGGGGGCAACCCUGAUCCAGCCAUGCCGCGUGAGUG
rnacentral:rRNA from 1 species